GCAGUGGUGGUUCAGUGGUAGAACUCUUGCCCUUCUGUGCAGGAGACCCAGGUUCCUUUCUUGGCCAAUGCA
rnacentral:tRNA from 1 species